AGCAUCAAAACUAUAAAAAACAUCAUUCACAUAUUCAGAACUUAGCUGUGACAUAUUCAUUCACAUCAUUCGCAUCAUUCCAAGCGUUCUUUUGUUUAUAUUUUAACGCGUAAGGGCUCUUUUGAGUCAACGGUUAGGUUUUGAGAUGGGAUCUUGCGUAAGGGCUCAUAUUGGGUUUGUUCUUUUUUUUUUUCUGUAACAUUAGAUGAUUAGCUAUGUCCUUUUAGAGAAAAGUUAUGCCUUUGAUUUACCGUGAAGACUGUUAUUUUAGUUGUCAAUGAAUCACUACAAGAAAAAUGGGUUUUAAUAGCAGAUCGGGAUAGCGUUUUUUUCGAUUGUGCUAUUGUUGACAUAUCUCUUACUUUUAGAUAGCGUUUGCGAAAAUACAAACUCUAUGUUAGGUUGGUCCGAUUUUAAUUUCUCCAAAACACUUUUCGGACAUAGUAUACAUAGCACUUUUAGUUUUGAAACGCUAUGCAUAUCUAAAGCGGAAAAAUAAUUGAUUUUCCCUCUCGUACUUGUUUCACUUUUCCUCUUACUAUAUUUUACAUAACACUUAAGGUGAAAAGUGCUAUAAUAGCAUAUGUUUAAUAGACAUAUAUUUAAUAGCACAUAAUUAAAAAUGCUAUCUUUGUCUUUUUAAAUCCCUAAACCGUAAACGAAUUUUUAAACCCUAAACUUUAAACAUAUAUUUUAAACUCAGAUAUUAAGUAUAUAGUCAAAAACUAUUUCUGUUUCAUAAAUUUAAUCUCAAUCUCAAUACCCCAAACUUUUAACUCUCAAACCCUGGGCUCAAACCCUAUACUCAAACCUUUAAACCCUUAAACUAAUUUCAUUUAGUAUAAUUCUUUUAUUUAAAAUCUUUAAACUAAUUUAAGAUUACAGUUUAAAAAUUAAUCUCAAAUCUCAAUACCCCAAAUUUUUGAUCCUCAAAUUCUAUUAUAUUUUAAAUUUUAAUUAUCAUGUUUAAUUCUUUAAAUUUAUGCAAUUUUUGAAGUGAAAUGAGAAGAACAAUUUUAUUUUUUUAGGACCAUUGAUUGAAUUUGAUCUAGUGGCAACAAUCAUUAUUUGACUUUUGAAUCUCUAAACCCUAAACUUUAAACACAAACUUUAAACUCUAAUACUAUAAACUUUAUAAUACAUGAAAACUUAAACUUCAGAUCUUAGAUAUAAAACUAAAAAAUUGAAUAUUUUUGAAAUUAUCAAAUCAUAUAAUUUUUUUUAUCAAAUCAAUUUUUAAUCAUAUAACCACAAAAUUCAAAUGCCAAACUUAAAUCCUCUAGUUCAUAAACUUUAAACUAUAUUUCAUAUAUCCAAAUUCUAAACCUUAAUUUUAAAUUUCAAACUUAAAUCCUCUAGUUCAUAAACUUUAAACUAUAUUUCAUAUAUCCAAAUAUAAAUCACAAAAUCAUAAACUUUAAACCUUUUCUUAAAAUAAUUUUUAUUUUCAAAAAUAUAUCAUAAAUAUUUUUAUACUAAACACACAAAAUAUAAUAGAAAACAAUGUUAUUAAGAAAAAUAGGAAUCAAAUACAAAAAUCUGAUUGGUCAACACAAACUGGCCAAUCACAUACAAGGACGGAGAUCAUGCUUUAUGUAAUCACAACCAUUGAUUAAACUUUUUGAAGGGUCCAGAUUACUCCUACUUCUUCUCCUCUCUCUCUCUCUCUCUCUCUCUCUGUCGCUUUUGUUUUCAGAUCCAAAAAUUUUGUAACUGUCUAGACUCACAAAACUCAUCUUCUUUCUCUCUGCAUCUUCAGUUUCUCUAAGUCACAGACUCAUUGUCACCAUCCUCUCUGUCGCUCAGUAUCCUUCUCCUUACAGAUAAUAGAGGUCGUGAGACAACAACAGAGGAGGAGCAUCCCAUCUACUCUAUUCUCUCUCUCUCUGAACCGUGAUGCCUCCUCUCUGUCCUGUGACGAAGUGACGCCUCCUCUCUGUUCUGGUUUCAGAGAAAGACUAGAGCAAUAGCGUAAGCUUGGAGAAUCAGAGCAAGGUGGGAGAAGACAGAGCAACGGCGUCGGAGAAGACCGAGCAGCGGCGUCGGGGAAGACAGAGCAGGGGCGGCGUUGGGGUAGACAGAGAUGGUCGCGAGCAGAGAUGGUGGUGCGGCGGGUGAGGACUGGAAGAUGAAGAAAGCAACAAAGUUCAUGGCUUGAUAAGACGAUGAAGAUCAUGGAAGAACACGACAACGAAGGUGGUGGUGCGACGGGUGAGGGUUGGAAGAUGAAGAAACGACGAAGGUGGUGGUGUUGGGGUGGCGCUUAGUUAGUACUAAUUAGGUUAAAGCUUGGUUUAGUUAGUAAUUAGGUUAAAGUUUUUGGUUUAUUAUUUAAUUAGAUUUUUUUUUUUUUUUUGUAAUCCAAUUUUGUUACAAAUCAAUAUUAAUAAAGAAAUUUUAAAUAUCUGAAUUAAUUUUAAAUUUUAAUUAUGCUUUUAUUUUUAAAUUAUUAACUGAAAAAUAAUUCUAAAAUAAA